rnacentral:rRNA from 1 species
CCUGGUGGUUGGAGCGAAGCGGACCCACCCGUUCCCAUCUCGAACACGGCAGUGAAACGCUUUAGCGCCGACGAUACUGCGUUAGUAAUGGCGUGGGAAAAUAAGUCACUGCCAGGG